rnacentral:rRNA from 1 species
GACGAACGCUGGCGGCGUGCUUAACACAUGCAAGUCGAACGGAAAGGCCCUGCUUUUGUGGGGUACUCGAGUGGCGAACGGGUGAGUAACACGUGAGUAACCUGCCCUUGACUUUGGGAUAACUUCAGGAAACUGCGGCUAAUACCGGAUAGGAGCUCCUGCUGCAUGGUGGGGGUUGGAAAGUUUCGGCGGUUGGGGAUGGACUCGCGGCUUAUCAGCUUGUUGGUGGGGUAGUGGCUUACCAAGGCUUUGACGGGUAGCCGGCCUGAGAGGGUGACCGGCCACAUUGGGACUGAGAUACGGCCCAGACUCCUACGGGAGGCAGCAGUGGGGAAUAUUGCACAAUGGGCGGAAGCCUGAUGCAGCAACGCCGCGUGCGGGAUGACGGCCUUCGGGUUGUAAACCGCUUUCGCCUGUGACGAAGCGUGAGUGACGGUAAUGGGUAAAGAAGCACCGGCUAACUACGUG